CCCGACACUGGACGGGGAAACAGGGAAGCAGCGGGGCAGCAGUGACACAAGGACAGACCCUCAGGGACCAGAGGGGAUAGGGAGACGCUUCAGGCCAACCACGUGGUUUCUCUUUCCACUUCCAGGGCCGAACGUGGGCCACGAGUGAGGCCUGAGGGGGCAGGGAUUGAGAGGCCUGACUUUUCAUCUGUGAGCUGAGGAUGUGGAAUAGAUGAUGAAUAAAGUCCUUACCGCUUAUAAAUUCUAUCUCCAGACUUCAGCUUCCAUGUCUGCCAAGUGGGCUGAAAUGAUCUCCCUCCUGGGUUCCUGGGAGGAAGAAUAGCUCUGGAUGGCUUUAUGGUGCAUCAUAGAAUGGCCCCAGCAGACCCAAGUGUGAGUGUUUGAAUUGGUUUAACCCAGGAGCCUUCAGACACCAGACUGAGACGCAUGGCUGGGCCAUGGCACCCUCUUCGCAGGUUCCAGGCAAAGACUGGCUUUGCAACUACUUGAGGAGCUACUUGUGGGUCCUGUUGCCACAUGGACGAUGCCCUGUAAAGACAUCUAUGCUAACCAAGAACGGGGUGCUUGGUUUUUGGAUGGCAGUUCCAACGGUAGGUGAAUGGUAUUCUGCUUGGAAGGAUCCCACACUAAGUUUGGUGGUUGAAGAGGUUCCAAUAAAAGAAAGUCACACACAUAGCAGCUGUUGGCUUGCAUGCUAUUUGCCUUACAGUACCCAGAGAACUGAAGAGCAAUACACGCUUGUUGGUUUGUUUUUAUGGACUCAUGAGCAAUGGCCAACAACCUGGCCAUAGGGUUAGGUAGACGGGCAGUGGAACACUAGCCUGUUCAAUGGAAUCCCAUAUGAGACACAAAUGAGAAUGCUGCAAGAACUUGGGUAAGUUUAUAGUAGCAUUUAUUUCUAGUCUGCUCAAGGCAUAUUUGAUAACAUCUACAAUAGCAAAGCUCUUGGGGCUUGCUGGGAGGCACAGAUGGUUGCUUCUGAUGAACAUCUUGGUUGUCAGGGCCUCUGUGGUGUGUUGGGGAAGGUUAGGGAGGGAAGGCCAGAGGAGAGGCCUGCCAUGGCAGUCUACUACCUCUCUCUGUGCAAUGGAGAGCCUGGCAGAACUCAGUGUCCUCUGUCUUGCAUGAGGAACUGAGAUGGACUCCACCAAUGGACCACAGUUCUGGGUCUCUCUGCCAGACGAAGUUGAAGGUCUCUAAUGAACUUGCUGAUGGGGGGCUGCUCUGCUUUUGCUUCUCCCUGGCAAACUUGAACAUAACCAAUUUUGCAAAGUUAAAAGCAAAAUAUGGUUGAUGGUAUAAAUUCAAAGUGUAUAAUAUAGUGAUCUUAUAAAUAUAUACAUUAUCUAAUGAUUAUUAUAAUCAAAAUGAAAAAUCUCCAGAAUUUGCUUAUUUUAUAA